rnacentral:sRNA from 1 species
GGGUUCUCUACCCCACAGCCAGGCCAGACACCUUAUUCUUACCAAAUGCCAGGUUCUAGUUUUGCACCAUCAUCUACUAUUUAUGCAAAUAAUUCAGUUUCCAAUUCAACGAAUUUCAGUGGUUCACAACAGGAUUAUCCAUCCUAUACAGCCUUUGGCCAAAACCAGUAUGCACAGUAUUAUUCAGCAUCAACGUAUGGAGCGUAUAUGACAUCGAAUAACACAGCCGAUGGCACACCCUCUUCAACCUCUACUUAUCAGUUGCAGGAAUCUCUCCCAGGACUGACUAACCAACCAGGUACAGAUCUUCACCCAGGAGAGUUCGAUACCAUGCAGAGUCCCUCCACACCCAUCAAAGAUCUUGAUGAGAGAACCUGUAGGAGUUCUGGGUCAAAGUCUAGAGGAAGAGGCCGGAAAAAUAAUCCCUCCCCGCCUCCUGAUAGUGACCUGGAGCGUGUGUUUGUCUGGGAUUUGGAUGAAACCAUCAUUGUUUUUCACUCACUGCUCACCGGGUCUUAUGCACAGAAGUAUGGCAAGGAUCCCCCCAUGGCUGUAACCCUUGGACUCCGCAUGGAAGAAAUGAUUUUUAAUCUUGCUGAUACUCAUUUGUUUUUUAAUGAUUUAGAGGAGUGUGAUCAAGUUCAUAUAGAUGAUGUUUCCUCUGAUGAUAAUGGGCAGGACUUAAGGUGUAAGAGGAGGGGUUGACUGGAUGAGGAAGUUGGCUUUUCGUUACAGAAGAGUAAAAGAAUUAUAUAACACCUACAAGAACA